CAGUAGCCGCGGGAAAACGCAGGGUGCGAGCGUUAAUCGGAAUUACUGGGCGUAAAGCGUGCGCAGGCGGUUUUGUAAGACAGGCGUGAGAUCCCCGGGCUCAACCUGGGAAUGGCGCUUGUGACUGCAAAGCUAGAGUGCGGCAGAGGGGGAUGGAAUUCCGCGUGUAGCAGUGAAAUGCGUAGAUAUGCGGAGGAACACCGAUGGCGAAGGCAAUCCCCUGGGCCUGCACUGACGCUCAUGCACGAAAGCGUGGGGAGCAAACAGGAUUAGAUACCCCUGUAGUCCCUGUCUCUUAUAC
rnacentral:rRNA from 1 species